UGGAACAUGUAAGUAAGGGCUGUCAAACAGUCAUUAUUUUCAUGCUUCA
rnacentral:pre_miRNA from 1 species